AUAUAUUUAAUUUUUUAAAAAGUGUUAUCUUUUCCUAAUUACUUAUUCACAUUUACAGAACAAGCAAAACUCACUGCUCACAAAAUCAAAAUCUCGGACUCUUCAGAUCCAAAUCUCGCUCACUGUUCAAUCUAAUCACUUAUUCCUUCGUGCGUUUGCUUCGAGCUUGAUUUCACUGAAUUUCAAUCUCAAUCUGGCUCUUGUUCGAUCUGCUCUCGAUCUUGCUUUGGCUUGAUCUCAAUUCUCGAUAUCUCUCUGUUGUUGUCGCCGUCGUCCUGUAGGUAGGUCAUCCUUCGAUCCUCAAUGUGUUAAUUUAUGUUACGAAUGCGUGGCCAACCCCUAAUUUAGCGCUUUUUAAUUCUGGAAUAUGUUAAUAUAUGCAUUGAUUUUUAUUAUAAAUUAUGAUUACUGUAGUUGAUUUUCAAGAAAUUAAAUUCCCUAUGUUUAGCACUAUGGAAUUCAGACAAAUUUUAGUCUAAGACUUCUGAUCUCUCCGUUUUUCAUUCCUCAAUUCUUUCAAGGGCUUCGAUUCACUUUUUUUGGGGAGAUUUUCAAGGGCUUCUUACUCUGAAACUAUUGGAAGAUGUGGUUUCGAUUCUUCGAAUAAAGUUCAAGGAAUUGUUUCUUCGAAUAAAUUAAUUUAUGCAUUAACAUUUGGGGAUCUUUGACGAGCCUUGCAGGAGGUACAAAGAGCUGCAAAAGCUACUUCUAAAGGUGGUUGUAGUCAUUGACAAUUUUGUUGACAA